GAUGAACGCUGGCGGCGUGCCUAAUACAUGCAAGUCGAACGCUGGAGAUCUAGCUUGCUAGAUCGAAGGAGUGGCGAACGGGUGAGUAAUACAUAAGCAACCUACCCACGAAGACUGGGAUAAUCUCUGGAAACGGGGACUAAUACCGGAUAGGUAAUCGGAAGGCAUCUUCUGGUUAUUAAAGGUUAAAAACACUGGUGGAUGGGCUUAUGGCGCAUUAGUUAGUUGGUGAGGUAACGGCCCACCAAGACGAUGAUGCGUAGCCGGCCUGAGAGGGUGAACGGCCACAUUGGGACUGAGACACGGCCCAGACUCCUACGGGAGGCAGCAGUAGGGAAUUUUCGGCAAUGGGGGCAACCCUGACCGGGCAACGCCGCGUGAGUGAAGACGGCCUUCGGGUUGUAAAGCUCUGUUGUAAGGGAAGAACGGUAGAUAGAGAAUAUCUAAGUGACGGUACCUUACCAGAAAGCCCGGCUG
rnacentral:rRNA from 1 species